rnacentral:rRNA from 1 species
UUAAGCGACUAAGCGUACACGGUGGAUGCCCUGGCAGUCAGAGGCGAUGAAGGACGUGCUAAUCUGCGAUAAGCGUCGGUAAGGUGAUAUGAACCGUUAUAACCGGCGAUUUCCGAAUGGGGAAACCCAGUGUGAUUCGUCACACUAUCAUUAACUGAAUCCAUAGGUUAAUGAGGCGAACCGGGGGAACUGAAACAUCUAAGUACCCCGAGGAAAAGAAAUCAACCGAGAUUCCCCCAGUAGCGGCGAGCGAACGGGGAGCAGCCCAGAGCCUGAAUCAGUGUGUGUGUUAGUGGAAGCGUCUGGAAAGGCGCGCGAUACAGGGUGACAGCCCCGUACACAAAAAUGCACAUGCUGUGAGCUCGAUGAGUAGGGCGGGACACGUGGUAUCCUGUCUGAAUAUGGGGGGACCAUCCUCCAAGGCUAAAUACUCCUGACUGACCGAUAGUGAACCAGUACCGUGAGGGAAAGGCGAAAAGAACCCCGGCGAGGGGAGUGAAAAAGAACCUGAAACCGUGUACGUACAAGCAGUGGGAGCACGCUUAGGCGUGUGACUGCGUACCUUUUGUAUAAUGGGUCAGCGACUUAUAUUCUGUAGCAAGGUUAACCGAAUAGGGGAGCCGAAGGGAAACCGAGUCUUAACUGGGCGUUAAGUUGCAGGGUAUAGACCCGAAACCCGGUGAUCUAGCCAUGGGCAGGUUGAAGGUUGGGUAACACUAACUGGAGGACCGAACCGACUAAUGUUGAAAAAUUAGCGGAUGACUUGUGGCUGGGGGUGAAAGGCCAAUCAAACCGGGAGAUAGCUGGUUCUCCCCGAAAGCUAUUUAGGUAGCGCCUCGUGAAUUCAUCUCCGGGGGUAGAGCACUGUUUCGGCAAGGGGGUCAUCCCGACUUACCAACCCGAUGCAAACUACGAAUACCGGAGAAUGUUAUCACGGGAGACACACGGCGGGUGCUAACGUCCGUCGUGAAGAGGGAAACAACCCAGACCGCCAGCUAAGGUCCCAAAGUCAUGGUUAAGUGGGAAACGAUGUGGGAAGGCCCAGACAGCCAGGAUGUUGGCUUAGAAGCAGCCAUCAUUUAAAGAAAGCGUAAUAGCUCACUGGUCGAGUCGGCCUGCGCGGAAGAUGUAACGGGGCUAAACCAUGCACCGAAGCUGCGGCAGCGACGCUUAUGCGUUGUUGGGUAGGGGAGCGUUCUGUAAGCCUGCGAAGGUGUGCUGUGAGGCAUGCUGGAGGUAUCAGAAGUGCGAAUGCUGACAUAAGUAACGAUAAAGCGGGUGAAAAGCCCGCUCGCCGGAAGACCAAGGGUUCCUGUCCAACGUUAAUCGGGGCAGGGUGAGUCGACCCUAAGGCGAGGCCGAAAGGCGUAGUCGAUGGGAAACAGGUUAAUAUUCCUGUACUUGGUGUUACUGCGAAGGGGGGGACGGAGAAGGCUAUGUUGGCCGGGCGACGGUUGUCCCGGUUUAAGCGUGUAGGCUGGUUUUCCAGGCAAAUCCGGAAAAUCAAGGCUGAGGCGUGAUGACGAGGCACUACGGUGCUGAAGCAACAAAUGCCCUGCUUCCAGGAAAAGCCUCUAAGCAUCAGGUAACAUCAAAUCGUACCCCAAACCGACACAGGUGGUCAGGUAGAGAAUACCAAGGCGCUUGAGAGAACUCGGGUGAAGGAACUAGGCAAAAUGGUGCCGUAACUUCGGGAGAAGGCACGCUGAUAUGUAGGUGAAGUCCCUCGCGGAUGGAGCUGAAAUCAGUCGAAGAUACCAGCUGGCUGCAACUGUUUAUUAAAAACACAGCACUGUGCAAACACGAAAGUGGACGUAUACGGUGUGACGCCUGCCCGGUGCCGGAAGGUUAAUUGAUGGGGUUAGCGCAAGCGAAGCUCUUGAUCGAAGCCCCGGUAAACGGCGGCCGUAACUAUAACGGUCCUAAGGUAGCGAAAUUCCUUGUCGGGUAAGUUCCGACCUGCACGAAUGGCGUAAUGAUGGCCGCUGUCUCCACCCGAGACUCAGUGAAAUUGAACUCGCUGUGAAGAUGCAGUGUACCCGCGGCAAGACGGAAAGACCCCGUGAACCUUUACUAUAGCUUGACACUGAACAUUGAGCCUUGAUGUGUAGGAUAGGUGGGAGGCUUUGAAGUGUGGACGCCAGUCUGCAUGGAGCCGACCUUGAAAUACCACCCUUUAAUGUUUGAUGUUCUAACGUUGACCCGUAAUCCGGGUUGCGGACAGUGUCUGGUGGGUAGUUUGACUGGGGCGGUCUCCUCCUAAAGAGUAACGGAGGAGCACGAAGGUUGGCUAAUCCUGGUCGGACAUCAGGAGGUUAGUGCAAUGGCAUAAGCCAGCUUGACUGCGAGCGUGACGGCGCGAGCAGGUGCGAAAAGCAGGUCAUAGUGAUCCGGUGGUUCUGAAUGGAAGGGCCAUCGCUCAACGGAUAAAAGGUACUCCGGGGAUAACAGGCUGAUACCGCCCAAGAGUUCAUAUCGACGGCGGUGUUUGGCACCUCGAUGUCGGCUCAUCACAUCCUGGGGCUGAAGUAGGUCCCAAGGGUAUGGCUGUUCGCCAUUUAAAGUGGUACGCGAGCUGGGUUUAGAACGUCGUGAGACAGUUCGGUCCCUAUCUGCCGUGGGCGCUGGAGAACUGAGGGGGGCUGCUCCUAGUACGAGAGGACCGGAGUGGACGCAUCACUGGUGUUCGGGUUGUCAUGCCAAUGGCACUGCCCGGUAGCUAAAUGCGGAAGAGAUAAGUGCUGAAAGCAUCUAAGCACGAAACUUGCCCCGAGAUGAGUUCUCCCUGACUCCUUGAGAGUCCUGAAGGAACGUUGAAGACGACGACGUUGAUAGGCCGGGUGUGUAAGCGCAGCGAUGCGUUGAGCUAACCGGUACUAAUGAACCGUGAGGCUUAACCU